UAAAACAUAAAAUUGAAAAAGAAAAGAAUGAGGAAGAUAGGAAAGAAUAAUAUAAUUCGUCUUCUAGAUAAAAAUGAAAUAAUUAAAAAUUCCCAAUAUGUAAAAACAACAAUAAAAUUCCAAACAUGAAAAUAAAAUCUAAAAUCAAUGUUAGUAAAUCGGUAAUAUUCAUAUAAAUUAGCCAUUACGACGACUGCUAGCAAGAGGAGCAAACAAGUAGAAGUGCUGGUAAAUGUGAUCCAGGUUCUCUG
rnacentral:lncRNA from 1 species